rnacentral:lncRNA from 13 species
CCUAAAGAAUUAUAAACCUAGAAGGGAAAGAGACAAAUAGCCCAGCAAUUUCAAUAGCAGGGUCAAAGAAGAAGAACCCAGUCACAUCUCAGGAAGCUCUAGAACAUUCACAUCGUGCUGAGACCUGAGAUAUGAGUGAAGAUUUGCUGGGUGAAGACGGACAAGAGGGAGAAUAGUUUUCCAAGACUGCACAUGCAGAGGCCUAGAGGAGAGCGAGAACAUGCCUGCUGCCAUGUGGGAUAUAUAGAAGGAGCCAUCUAUGAAGUCCAGGCCCUCACCAGAUACUGAAUCUGCUGAUGCCUUAAUUUUGGACUUCUCAGCCUCCAGAACUGUGAGUAAUAAAUUUCUGUAGUUUAUAAAUUACCUGGUCUAA